rnacentral:rRNA from 1 species
GAGGAACGGGUGGGGGGUUUUUAACCCCUUGAAAGUGGAACGAAAAGGCCCUUUUUGCCGGGUUCUUGGAGGGGGAACGGGGGAAUAACACGGGGGUGAUCUCCCCUGCCUUUUGGGAAUAAGCCUGGGAAACUGGUUUAAUCCGGGAUAGGAGCCAUUUUUAGUUUGAGGGUGGAAAAGUUUUUUCGGUGUAGGAUGAGCUCGCGCCCUUUCAGCUUGUGGGUGGGGUAAUGGCCUCCCAAGGCGGCGACGGGUAGCCGCCUUGAGAGGGUGGACGCCCACAUUGGGACUGAGAUCCGCCCCAGACUCUUACGGGAGGCAGCAGUGGGGAAUAUUGCACAAUGGGCGCAACCUUGAUGCAGCGACGCCGCGUGGGGGAUGACGCCCUUCGGGGUUGUAAACUCCUUUCGCUAGGGACGAAGCUUUUUGUGACGGUACCUAGAUAAGAAGCACCGGCUAACUACGUGCCAGCAGCCGCGGUAAUACGUAGGGUGCGAGCGUUGUCCGGAAUUACUGGGCGUAAAGGGCUCGUAGGUGGUUUGUCGCGUCGUCUGUGAAAUUCCGGGGCUUAACUCCGGGCGUGCAGGCGAUACGGGCAUAACUUGAGUACUGUAGGGGUAACUGGAAUUCCUGGUGUAGCGGUGAAAUGCGCAGAUAUCAGGAGGAACACCGAUGGCGAAGGCAGGUUACUGGGCAGUUACUGACGCUGAGGAGCGAAAGCAUGGGUAGCGAACAGGAUUAGAUACCCUGGUAGUCCGUGCCGUAAACGGUGGGCGCUAGGUGUGAGGGUCUUUUCACGACUUUCGUGCCGUAGCUAACGCAUUAAGCGCCCCGCCUGGGGAGUACGGCCGCAAGGCUAAAACUCAAAGGAAUUGACGGGGGCCCGCACAAGCGGCGGAGCAUGUGGAUUGAUUCGAUGCAACGCGAAGAACCUUACCUGGGCUUGACAUACACCGGAUCGGGCUAGAGAUAGUCUUUCCCUUUGUGGCUGGUGUACAGGUGGUGCAUGGUUGUCGUCAGCUCGUGUCGUGAGAUGUUGGGUUAAGUCCCGCAACGAGCGCAACCCUUGUCUUAUGUUGCCCGCAUUUGGUUGGGGACUCCUGAGAGACUGCCGGGGUCAACUCGGAAGAAAGUGGGGAUGACCGUCAAUCCUCAUGCCCCCUAUGUCCAGGGGUUUCCACAUGCUACAAUGGGCGGGACAAACCGCAACGACACUGUGAGGUGGGAGCGAAUCCCUGAAAACCGGGCCUUAAUUCGGAUUGGGGUCUGCAACUCCAACCCCAUGAAAUCCGAGUCGCUAGUAAUCCCAGAUUAACAACCCUGCGGGGAAAAAAUUCCCCGGGCCU